GCCUAAGCCCUGCCCACGGGGAAGAUUUAGAUAUAUCACUAAAACCAGCACCCAAGUGAUGUGACUCUUCACCAGAGUCCUGCCCACAAGGAGGAUUGUGACAUUUCACUGGACCAGCACCCACUCAGGUGGUAUUGCUCCAUAUGCCUGAGACCCUAACAAAAGCCUAAUUACAACUCAUAUGCCUGGAGCCAGGACAUGUGCAGGAUGGUGAUGUAACUUUCCUCUCUGGAAUGGGUCCUGCACAAAGGAAUGAUAGUAACAUAUUGCAAAGCCAGACACACAGCCAUGAUGGUCCAAGUUAUAUUGGGAUUCAGCCAAUAGAAGAUAUUUUGCCUGUCAUCCCUAAGCUUAGGACAAUAGACUCUGCCAAGAGAGGGGAUUAUUACAUAUUGCAGAGCCCAGCACCUAGGUGGAGUGACUCUCAUCUUUUUCUUCUACCCCGUAUAUAGCCAGCUUGGUGACCUACUAUUUGAGUCUAUACCCAGGCCCAGACCACAGAUGAAAUUGUGCAAUAUGUGGAACAAACACCUAAACAAUAUAUAACACCUUCCUUGGCUCUGUCUACAAAGGGCACUUUUAUAUAUCACUGGGACCAUCAACCAGGUGAUGUUAAUUAUCUUCCUGAAACCUGUCUACAAAGAGAGUUGUGUCGUAUACCUAGGCCCGUCAUGUAAGUGAUGUCAGUCCCUUCUACUGCCUUGGCCCUGCACUUACAGUGCAUUGUGACACAUAACAAGGUACUGCACACAGACGAUGUGAUUCUCCUUUUUGGGUUCUGCCAAAAGGAAGCAUUGUAAUAAAUCGCUUGGCUCA
rnacentral:lncRNA from 1 species